UACGGAGGGUGCAAGCGUUAAUCGGAAUUACUGGGCGUAAAGCGCACGCAGGCGGUCUGUCAAGUCGGAUGUGAAAUCCCCGGGCUCAACCUGGGAACUGCAUUCGAAACUGGCAGGCUAGAGUCUUGUAGAGGGGGGUAGAAUUCCAGGUGUAGCGGUGAAAUGCGUAGAGAUCUGGAGGAAUACCGGGGGCGAAGGCGGCCCCCUGGACAAAGACUGACGCUCAGGUGCGAAAGCGUGGGGAGCAAACAGGAUUAGCUACCCUGGUAGUCCACGCCGUAAACGAUGUCGAUUUGGAGGUUGUGCCCUUGAGGCGUGGCUUCCGGAGCUAACGCGUUAACUCGACCGCCUGGGGAGUACGGCCGCAAGGUUAAC
rnacentral:rRNA from 1 species